rnacentral:tRNA from 1 species
GGUGAGUUGUCCGAGUGGUUGAAGGAGCCUGCCUCGAAAACAGGUGUGCGGGUGACCGUACCGGGGGUUCGAAUCCCUCACUCACCG